rnacentral:rRNA from 1 species
UACGUAGGGUGCAAGCGUUAAUCGGAAUUACUGGGCGUAAAGGGCUCGUAGGCGGCCAACUAAGUCAGACGUGAAAUCCCUCGGCUUAACCGGGGAACUGCGUCUGAUACUGGAUGGCUUGAGUUUGGGAGAGGGAUGCGGAAUUCCAGGUGUAGCGGUGAAAUGCGUAGAUAUCUGGAGGAACACCGGUGGCGAAGGCGGCAUCCUGGACCAACACUGACGCUGAAGCGCGAAAGCUAGGGGAGCGAACGGG